GGUACAGCUCAGUGGUAGAGUUCAGUGGCCUAAUAUGCAUGAGGCCCCGGGUUCAAUCCCCAGCACCA
rnacentral:tRNA from 1 species